rnacentral:rRNA from 1 species
UACGUAGGGUGCAGGCGUUAAUCGGAAUUACUGGGCGUAAAGCGUGCGCAGGCGGUCUUUUAAGUCAGAUGUGAAAUCCCCGGGCUUAACCUGGGAACUGCGUUUGAAACUGGAAGGUUUGAGUGUGGCAGAGGGGGGUGGAAUUCCACGUGUAGCAGUGAAAUGCGUAGAGAUGUGGAGGAACACCGAUGGCGAAGGCAGCCCCCUGGGCUAACACUGACGCUCAUGCACGAAAGCGUGGGGAGCAAACAGG